UUACUGAUAGGUUAUUUAAACUGACAAAUUGUGGUUUUGUUGAUUACAUGUUUUCUUUUAGUAUC
rnacentral:tRNA from 4 species